rnacentral:lncRNA from 1 species
CUGCUUGCCAAGUCUGUCACCUCGCACACAUCACAAUCAGUAAAUCUUGCAGGAGAA